rnacentral:sRNA from 1 species
AUUAAACAUAUUAUUACCCAAGUGCUAAACUGUAAUAUCAUACAGCUUGGAAUUGUUCGAUAAGUAGUCAGACAUACGAAUACGUUUGUAAGGUUGCUUUCUAUGUAUAGAGAUAUAUGUAGAGGAGAGGUAAAAUUCAACAAUGGACAAUGUGCAGGGUUUAUCGCUUAAUAAAACACUAGAGUUGUCGUAGCCACAAUAGACGGGCUAGUAGUCAAUAAGCCUAUACCUCAUAUCUAGCAAAUAUGAAGCAAUGUAGGUAAUGCUAAACAAGGCUAUUUCUCGUGAUGUUCUUGAAAGAGAACUAUAAGACAUAACUAGGUUAAAGUAGCCCAAUACGAGACAACUUACAGAACAAUAGGUAUUAGAUUGGUUAAUACAUAUAAAAUUAUCUGAAUGAUGGGUGAAAUUUACGAGAAAUCAAUCUCGUACGAGCUAGAACGGGGCAAGAAGUAUAGAGGUCGCAACUUUAUGCUCAGACUUGCUUUCUCGGUGGUUGAAUAAUUAAGAAGAUAAAACUACUGUAAGGGGAAACUCUAAUAAUAUGUUUGUAU